AUAAACGAAGUGCGGCCACGCCCCCUUCGCAUUGCAAUGGCAUUGGCAGACGGAUGGACAUCGUCUCUUUCAAAGCAAAACCUUGGUUUGACAAUCGGUAUUUCCUGCCUUUUGUUCGUCAUCUAUGUGGCGCUGGCUGUGAUCGUUUACCGACCAAGACGUGUGCCAACGGACGGCCGCCAGUCUCAGAUUACGUAACGCGCACGUCAUAUACGUAACGCUUGUGGUGAUCGUAUGCCGGAAACGACUUGUACCCAGGGACGACCGCCAGUCUCAGAUUACAUGGACAUUUUAUAUAAAAAUAACUCUAUAUGAAAUGCUGAUAAUUCGAAUGCUUGCUACCAUCUUUAUGAUGAUGAAAUUGGGCUUUAAUUACUCAUAGACAUGUGUUACUCAUAACAUAUAUUACUGUGUUGUUGUUGUUGUUGUUAUUUUGGCAUAAACUGCAACGAGCUUUAAAUAUUUUCUUCUUAAACAUGUGAUACUAAUUAACUAAGUCAGUUUUAUUUAUUUUCUCCCUUUUUCGUCGAAACGUGAAAAAUGUUGAAAACAAUGUUUAUUAUGAAGGAUCCGAGUUUAAUUUGAAAGAAAGGUGCAAAAACACGGGGUUUCUACCUUAUGAGACGAUAGUAGAUCACAGUAUAUGAUUUAGACCUCACCCAUCAUAAGAUAUAUUUGCGUUUUAAGCUAUAAAAUACACGGUUAAAAUCAUGUUAUCAGUAAUUGAUAAUUUCCAUUAAUGCAUUAUUUAGUAAGUAGUUAAAUCACUUAAAAUUUAUAUUUGUUAUACUUGUGUAUGUAUCUGUUGUGAUUAAAAUUGUCACUUUAAAAGU